UGUUUCCUUGAAAAGUUAAUCAAUGUCUAAGUGAGCCAGUUACAGACCACCUCAGAAGUACAGUGAGGUUGGACUCCCAGCACUUUCCCCCCAAGGUCAUGUCCCUGGGGUCAGAGUGACAGGAAAGUUGCAGUGAGCAACAGAUAUGACCAGAGGGACCUGGGGGCUCUCUUAGUGGUGGGCUGCUGCACUCCUUGUGCAAAGCUCUGGAGUCCAGAUGUAAGGGGCACACCCACAAGGCAUAAUGUGGCCUGGUCCACCAGCACUCCCAGCCAUAGCCCUGCUUUCUUCGGGCCCCAUUAUCACUUUAAAUAGGGGACCUCUGUGCCCACGUCAUCAGGCCUUUUCAUCCUGGGGUUGUCAGCCAGAAGGGACCCCUUCCUUCCUGCAAACAUCUCAAGCAUGUAUGCUGUGCCGGAUCUUUACGAUACUGAGAGGAAGAAAGCGGAUGAGAUCCAGCCCUCAAGCUGCUAAUAGUUGCGAGAAGAGAGGCGAAAAGGCAGUUGCAAUCCAGGGCACUUCAGGGAGCUUCAGCAGGGAUCUGGGGGCUGUGGAGAGCAAAGGUGCAGCCCCGAACACAACCUUGGGGAUCGGGGAGGCCACUCAGAGGAGAAUGAUGAAGUCUGAGCAGAACCUGGAAGGGAGAUAGGGAGUUACCAGCUUGGUGAGUGUGGUAAUCUCCAAAACAUCUGCAUCCUAAUCACUGGAACCUAUCAAUGUCACCAUAUGCGGCAUACAGAACAUUGCAGAUGUGACUGAAUUAAGGAUUUUGAGGACACUGGAUCACACCCCAAGAGAAAGGGGAGCUCCAAUGGAAAAGCCAUCUGCACCAUGAUGCUGCCUGUUACUUGACUGAGCGUUCCUGCUGCCCAGAAGCUCCUGUUGUCCUCCCAACUGAUGGGAUGCUCUUGGACAGUGAUGCCAGCUGGAAUUAAGAUUGGGUUUCCAAGGCCACUGUGACCAGCAUGAUUAAUAGUCUGAUGCGACAUGGAACAUCUCAGGGAAGUGCCUUGCUGGCUUCGCCCACCUGGAGCCUCAGGUGAAGUCUCAGGUGGGAGAUGUUGAUUUGAGAGGCCUGGGUAUAAAAGUAAUCCCAAGAAAUCACACGAUAGAAUAAUUUCUCUGAGGCACAAAGAGGGAGAAAAAUAAGAACAGAGCCCCUUAGCAGGGCACUCACAAUAAGAAGAAUUAGGAAAAGAAAAGGGAACCUGGGGUGACACAAAACUGGGGGAGUCUGUUAUCACAAGGUAGACGGCUACCUCCAGUUGGACAAAUUUCCAUGGACCACCAUGCAAUUUCUGGAGAUGCCACCUUUGAUCCCCUCUUCUCCCUUUGCUCCUCCCCCAUCUCCACACCCAAAGUGCACAUUAUUCAGAUGUCUAUCUGCCCCUAAAUCAACUUGACUUCUGUUGUUCCUUGGCAGAUUCGAGGACCAGCCUUCAUUGGAGUUGGGGUGGAAGCUACACACUUGUAUCAAAGGUUGUAAUCCCAAGUCUGGUCCUGUUUUCUGCGAACAAUAUAAUUGUAAACACAUUGAAUGUGCCUGAAUGGGAUUCACAUAACCUAUUCAAAGGUUAAUAUCACAAGACUGAUAGUGAGCUGGAAGCUCUGAAAUGUAUUUGUGCUCAGGGAAGAUAUUUGCUAAUGUUUGGCUUUUAUUUCCCCUGGAACUUGUACACGUCAGUGAGGCCUGGAGAUAAUGAAUAACAGCAUGGACAAUAAAUUUUAAAACAAACAAAAUAAAAACUCAAAGAACAUUAAUGUAGACCAGUGCUAGGAUAUGAUGUGUGUUACAAGAGAGCAAUGAUUACUCCUUGGUGAGCAGAUUCUAUUAUCUGCUUCUUAGGAGCAGUAGGUGGCUGCCUCUUGAUUGUAUUAGUC